rnacentral:rRNA from 1 species
GAGUUUGAUCCCUGGCUCAGAAUCAACGCUGGCGGCGUGCCUAACACAUGCAAGUCGAACGAGAAAAGUGGAGCAAUCCAUGAGUAAAGUGGCGACCGGGUGAGUAACACGUGACUAACCUACCUUCGAGUGGGGGAUAACCUCGGGAAACCGAGGCUAAUACCGCAUAACAUCGCAAGAUCAAAGCAGCAAUGCGCUGGAAGAGGGGGUCGCGGCUGAUUAGCCAGUUGGCGGGGUAACGGCCCACCAAAGCGAAGAUCGGUAGCCGGCCUGAGAGGGCGCACGGCCACACUGGAACUGAAACACGGUCCAGACUCCUACGGGAGGCAGCAGUGGGGAAUUUUGCGCAAUGGGGGAAACCCUGACGCAGCAACGCCGCGUGGAGGAUGAAGCCCCUUGGGGCGUAAACUCCUUUCGACCAAGACGAUAAUGACGGUACUGGUGGAAGAAGCACCGGCUAACUCUGUGCCAGCAGCCGCGGUAAUACAGAGGGUGCGAGCGUUGUUCGGAAUUAUUGGGCGUAAAGGGCGCGUAGGCGGUGCCACAAGUCACCUGUGAAAUCUCUGGGCUUAACUCAGAGCCUGCAGGCGAAACUGUGGUGCUGGAGUAUGGGAGAGGUGCGUGGAAUUCCCGG